rnacentral:rRNA from 1 species
GACGAACGCUGGCGGCGUGCCUAACACAUGCAAGUUGAGCGACGAACCAGGGCUUGCCCUGGGGCAAAGCAGCGAACGGGUGAGUAACACGUGGGUAACCUACCCCGAUAACCGGGACAACCCGAGGAAACUCGGGCUAAUACCGGAUGUGCUCACUGGACUUCGGUUCAGUGCGUAAAGGAAGCUUCGGCCUCCGUAUCGGGAGGGGCCCGCGGCCCGUUAGUUUGUUGGUGAGGUAACGGCUCACCAAGACCGCGAUGGGUAGCUGGGCUGAGCGGGCGAUCAGCCACACUGGGACUGAGACACGGCCCAGACUCCUACGGGAGGAAGCAGUGGGGAAUCUUGCGCAAUGCGCGAAAGCGUGACGCAGCAACGCCGCGUGGGGGAAGAAGGCCUUCGGGUUGUAAACCCCUUUCAGGAGGGACGAAGGUUCGGCGGUGAAUAGCCGUCCGGACUGACGGUACCUCCACAAGAAGCCCCGGCUAACUACGUG